rnacentral:sRNA from 1 species
GAGACUCCAUCUCAAACAAACAAAAAGCCAAAACUAACCAACCAACCAAACAAACAAACAAAAAAACCCCGAAAAACUGUCCCAUCCUAGUUCUUCCCAUUUCUGCUUCCCGCUUUCCAGUAGUCCCAUCCCAGCUGUUCGAAUCCACUCUUGUAGCUCCGCCCCUGCCUAGCCCCACGCCCUAUCCCAGCUUAGAGCUCCGUCCACUUUAACCCUGGGCCGGGAACCUGAACCCCUAGUAGGUCCUCGGUGCUCCAACCCCAUGGUCUGGCUGGGCUCUUCCCCAGGGCUCUGUCCCGCUCCUAGCUCCACUCGCCCUGAGCCCCAGCGAGCCUGCGGGGUGACUCGACCCUGGCCCUGCUCUCUCCUCCCGGGUCUGCAGGGAGACGCUCCUGCGGCUUCAGCUGGAGAACAAGCGGCUGUGCAGGCAGGAGGCGGCCGACCGGGAGCGGCAGGAGGAGCUGCAGCGCCACCUGGAGGAUGCCAACCGCGCGCGCCACGGGUUGGAGACGCAGCACCGGCUGAACCAGCAGCAGCUAUCCGAGCUGCGGGCCCAGGUGGAGGACCUGCAGAAAGCCCUGCAGGAGCAGGGGGGCAAGACUGAAGAUGUGAGUGUCACCCACCACCUCCCAGCCUGGCCCUCCCUUGUGUCCCGAAGUAACCCUCCUCUCUCUCCCAUGCUGCCCGAUGCCCCAUACAGGCCAUUGUAAGUACCAUGGGCCCAGGAUGGCACCCCCCUACCCUCACCCUGGGAAGGAAGAAUUAGGGCCUCUCUGGAUCCCCCACUCACCUUGCCUCUUCUCUCUCCCAGUCCAUUUUGCUGAAAAGGAAGCUGGAGGAACAUUUGUAAGUCGCAGAAAGAGGGAACUCCUCGUGGGG